rnacentral:rRNA from 1 species
UCACUAGUCGAGUCGGCCUGCGCGGAAGAUAUAACGGGGCUAAACCAGGUACCGAAGCUACGGGUGUGCCUGCAUCACUUAAGACUAUUCGCUUGGCGGAGCGCAGCGACGCCCAAGCCCCCCGAACGUCGAGUCGGGCGGAAUGAGUAGGCUUAAGGAUGCAGGCACGCGGUAGAGGAGCGUCGUGUAAGCCAAUGAAGGUGAGUCGAGAGGCUUGCUGGAGGUAUCACGAG